UACGUAGGGGGCUAGCGUUGUCCGGAAUCAUUGGGCGUAAAGCGCGUGUAGGCGGUUCGGUAAGUCCGCUGUGAAAGUCGGGGGCUCAACCCUCGGAAGCCGGUGGAUACUGUCGAGCUAGAGUACGGAAGAGGCGAGUGGAAUUCCUGGUGUAGCGGUGAAAUGCGCAGAUAUCAGGAGGAACACCAAUUGCGAAGGCAGCUCGCUGGGACGUAACUGACGCUGAGACGCGAAAGCGUGGGGAGCAAACAGG
rnacentral:rRNA from 1 species